ensembl:lncRNA
GGCAGAGUUGCUGAGGUUGCAGGAACAGUCCUGCAAAACGCUGCUCAGGUUGGAGAGCCACUCUCUGUGCAAUCCAUUAAGGAGGGGUGGGACCAUCCCUAACCAUCACUCCCUACAGCAGGAGCUCCAGAAUCUUCAGACGGGCGGCGUUGUAGAGGAGGGCGGGGCCUCGGAUCUUCACCCCACCCUCAGGAACAUCAUCCACAGGAUCAAAGCCUACGAGACGGUUGCGUAAUGUAGAGCAACAGCAGCGUGCACUGUGGGCGGGACAUGUGGAGGGGGUGGAGCGUCGUGCUCCAGAGGUGCACUGUUCAGCACUGACCAGCAGGGGGCUCUGUGCCUCCACACACACUGUACUGGAGGCUGAGCUGGAACACACACACACAGCGCUGGAGCACACUCAGACGGCCCUCAUACACUUCAGGACUCAGGUCCAUCAGCUAGAGGCUGAGCUGAGGACAGGACGGCAGCUACACACACACUUCACCUGCACAGACACACACAAAUGUGCACACACACACACAUGUGCCCACACUGACACCGCAAGCCCAGGAAGUCAGACCUCACACACGGCAACUCCAGGAGCUCAAACACCACAGACC